rnacentral:rRNA from 1 species
AUUGAACGCUGGCGGCAUGCCUUACACAUGCAAGUCGAACGGCAGCACGGGAGCAAUCCUGGUGGCGAGUGGCGAACGGGUGAGUAAUGUAUCGGAACGUGCCCAGUCGUGGGGGAUAAUGUAGUGAAAAUUACGCUAAUACCGCAUACGAUCUAUGGAUGAAAGCGGGGGAUCGCAAGACCUCGCGCGAUUGGAGCGGCCGAUAUCAGAUUAGGUAGUUGGUGGGGUAAAGGCCCACCAAGCCAACGAUCUGUAGCUGGGCUGAGAGGACGACCAGCCACACCGGAACUGAGACGCGGUCCAGACUCCUACGGGAGGCAGCAGUGGGGAAUUUUGGACAAUGGGCGAAAGCCUGAUCCAGCCAUUCCGCGUGCAGGAUGAAGGCCCUCGGGUUGUAAACUGCUUUUGUACAGAACGAAAAGGUUUCUACUAAUACUAGGAGCUCAUGACGGUACCGUAAGAAUAAGCACCGGCUAACUACGUGCCAGCAGCCGCAGUAA